GACGAACGCUGGCGGCGUGCUUAACACAUGCAAGUCGAACGGAUAGGCCCUGCUUUUGUGGGGUGCUCGAGUGGCGAACGGGUGAGUAACAUGUGAGUCACCUUCCCUUGACUUUGUGAUAACUUCAGGAAACUGGGGCUAAUACCUGAUAGGAGCUCCUGCUGCAUGGUGGGGUUUGGACAGUUUCGGCGGUUGUGGAUGGACUCGCGGCUUAUGAGCUUGUGGGUGGAGUAGUGGCUUACCAAGGCUUGGACGGGUAGCCGGACUGAGAGGGUGACCGGCCACAGUGGGACUGAGAAACGACCCAGACGGCUACGGGAGGCAAGAGUGGGGAAUAGUGCACAAUGGGCGGAAGCCGGAUGCAGCAACGCCGCGUGCGGGAUGACGGCCUGUGGGGUGUAAACCGCGUUAGCCUGUGACGAAGCGUGAGUGACGGUAAUGGGUAAAGAAGCACCGCCUAACUACGG
rnacentral:rRNA from 1 species